UACGUAGGGGGCAAGCGUUGUCCGGAUUUAUUGGGCGUAAAGAGCGUGUAGGCGGUUUGGUAGGUCCGUUGUGAAAACUCGAGGCUCAACCUCGAGACGCCGAUGGAAACCAUCAGACUAGAGUCCGGAAGAGGAGAGUGGAAUUCCUGGUGUAGCGGUGAAAUGCGCAGAUAUCAGGAAGAACACCCGUGGCUAAGGCGGCUCUCUAGUACGGUACUGACGCUGAGGAGCGAAAGUGUGGGGAGCGAACAGG
rnacentral:rRNA from 1 species